UACGGGGGGGGCAAGCGUUGUUCGGAAUUACUGGGCGUAAAGGGCUCGUAGGCGGCCAACUAAGUCGGAUGUGAAAUCCCCAAGCUUAACUUGGGAACUGCAUCCGAUACUGGAUGGCUUGAAUCCGGGAGAGGGAUGCAGAAUUCCAGGUGUAGCGGUGAAAUGCGUAGAUAUCGUGGAGGAAUACCGGUGGCGAAGGCGGCAUCCUGGACCGGCAUUGACGCUGAGGCGCGAAAGCGUUGGGUAGCAAACGGG
rnacentral:rRNA from 1 species